AUUGAACGCUGGCGGCAUGCCUUACACAUGCAAGUCGAACGGCAGCACGGGUGCUUGCACCUGGUGGCGAGUGGCGAACGGGUGAGUAAUAUAUCGGAACGUACCUUAUCGUGGGGGAUAACGCAGCGAAAGCUGCGCUAAUACCGCAUACGCCCUGAGGGGGAAAGCGGGGGACCGUAAAGGCCUCGCGCGGAUUAGAGCGGCCGAUAUCAGAUUAGGUAGUUGGUGGGGUAAAAGGCCUACCAAGCCUGCGAUCUGUAGUUGGUCUGAGAGGACGACCAAGCCACACUGGGACUGAGACACGGCCCAGACUCCUACGGAGGCAGCAGUGGGAAUUUUGGACAAUGGCGCAAGCC
rnacentral:rRNA from 1 species